CGAAACCAAAGACUGGCGACCGGCGCACGGGUGAGUAACACGUAUCCAACCUGCCUCAUACUCGGGGAUAGCCUUUCGAAAGAAAGAUUAAUAUCCGAUAGCAUAUAUUUCCCGCAUGGGUUUUAUAUUAAAGAAAUUCGGUAUGAGAUGGGGAUGCGUUCCAUUAGUUUGUUGGGGGGGUAACGGCCCACCAAGACUACGAUGGAUAGGGGUUCUGAGAGGAAGGUCCCCCACAUUGGAACUGAGACACGGUCCAA
rnacentral:rRNA from 1 species